rnacentral:rRNA from 1 species
AUGGGGUGCAGCAGGCGCGAACACUUUACAAUGCGGGAAACCGCGAUAAGGGAACCCCGAGUGCCAGCAUCAAAUGUUGGCUGUCCAGAUGAUUAAAAAUCAUUUGUUAGCAAGGGCCGGGCAAGACCGGUGCCAGCCGCCGCGGUAACACCGGCGGCCCGAGUGGUAGCCGUUUUUAUUGGGUCUAAAGGGUCCGUAGCCGGCCUGAUAAGUCCUUUGGGAAAUCUGGCAGCUUAACUGUCAGGCUUCUAAGGGAUACUGUCAGGCUUGGGACCGGAAGAGGUAAGGGGUACUCCAGGGGUAGGAGUGAAAUCUUGUAAUCCCUGGGGGACCAUCUGUGGCGAAGGCGCCUUACCAGAACGGGUCCGACGGUGAGGGACGAAAGCUAGGGGAGCAAACCGGAUUAGAUACCCGGGUAGUCCUAGCUGUAAACGAUGCUCGCUAGGUGUCAGACACGGUGCGACCGUGUUUGGUGCCGCAGGGAAGCCGUUAAGCGAGCCACCUGGGAAGUACGGUCGCAAGGCUGAAACUUAAAGGAAUUGGCGGGGGAGCAC